rnacentral:rRNA from 1 species
ACGGGAGGCAGCAGUGGGGAAUAUUGGGCAAUGGGCGAAAGCCCGACCCAGCAAUGCCGCGUGAAGGAAGAAGGUCUUCGGAUUGUAAACUUCUUUUAUGAGGGACGAAGGAUUUGACGGUACCUCAUGAAUAAGCCACGGCUAACUACGUGCCAGCAGCCGCGGUAAUACGUAGGUGGCAAGCGUUAUCCGGAUUUACUGGGUGUAAAGGGCGCGUAGGCGGGGAAGCAAGUCAGAUGUGAAAUCCAUGGGCUCAACUCAUAAACUGCAUUUGAAACUGUUUCUCUUGAGUGCUGGAGAGGUAGAUGGAAUUCCUAGUGUAGCGGUGAAAUGCGUAGAUAUUAGGAAGAACACCAGUGGCGAAGGCGAUCUACUGGACAGUAACUGACGCUGAGGCGCGAAAGCGUGGGGAGCAAACAGGAUUAGAUACCCUGGUA